rnacentral:lncRNA from 1 species
GAUAGAAUUCUGUACCAACAGAAUUGGCACUAGAGGAAGGGCUGUGUCUUCACAGGAUCUUUAUUCUUAAAGGAGUACUCAACGGAACUGUCUCCGAUCAUCUUCUUCGACAUCUUUCUUCUUCUUCUCCAGCCAGAUCCCAACCUGAUACCUCUCUGAAAGGCAUCCACUAGGCGAUCUACGGCCUCCAUAGCCAGAUCUCAGCAAGAUCCGCCAGCUUC